GUCAGCGGUACUAGCACUUUGAAAGCACCAGUUUCCCAUGGAUCACUGAAAUUAAGUAAUGUUGCACGUGGUUGCUAUCCGGAUGGGUGACCAUGGGCAAUAAUAUAAGGAGACGGCUAGCU
rnacentral:rRNA from 1 species